UACGAAGGGGGCUAGCGUUGUUCGGAUUUACUGGGCGUAAAGCGCACGUAGGCGGAUUGUUAAGUCAGGGGUGAAAUCCUGGAGCUCAACUCCAGAACUGCCUUUGAUACUGGCGAUCUCGAGUUCGGGAGAGGUGAGUGGAACUGCGAGUGUAGAGGUGCAAUUCGUAGAUAUUCGCAAGAACACCAGUGGCGAAGGCGGCUCACUGGCCCGAUACUGACGCUGAGGCACGAAAGCGUGGGGAGCAAACAGGGA
rnacentral:rRNA from 1 species